GGACUACCGGGGUAUCUAAUCCCGUUUGCUCCCCUGGCUUUCGCGCCUCAGCGUCAGAAAAGGUCCAGCGCGUCGCUUUCGCCACCGGCGUUCCUAUUGAUAUCUACGCAUUUCACCGCUCCACCAAUAGUUCCACGCGCCCCUACCUCCCUCGAGACUGCCAGUAUCAAAAGCACUUUUCCGGUUGGGCCGAAAGAUUUCACCCCUGACUUGGCAGCCCGCCUACGCGCCCUUUAAGCCCAGUGAUUCCGAACAACGUUAGGACGGUUCGUCUUACCGCGGCGGCUGGCAC
rnacentral:rRNA from 3 species